rnacentral:rRNA from 1 species
AGUGAACGCUGGCGGUAGGCCUAACACAUGCAAGUCGAACGGCAGCACAGUAAGAGCUUGCUCUUACGGGUGGCGAGUGGCGGACGGGUGAGGAAUACAUCGGAAUCUACUUUUUCGUGGGGGAUAACGUAGGGAAACUUACGCUAAUACCGCAUACGACCUACGGGUGAAAGCAGGGGAUCUUCGGACCUUGCGCGAUUGAAUGAGCCGAUGUCGGAUUAGCUAGUUGGCGGGGUAAAGGCCCACCAAGGCGACGAUCCGUAGCUGGUCUGAGAGGAUGAUCAGCCACACUGGAACUGAGACACGGUCCAGACUCCUACGGGAGGCAGCAGUGGGGAAUAUUGGACAAUGGGCGCAAGCCUGAUCCAGCCAUACCGCGUGGGUGAAGAAGGCCUUCGGGUUGUAAAGCCCUUUUGUUGGGAAGGAAAAGCAGCAGGUUAAUACCCCGCUGUUCUGACGGUACCCAAAGAAUAAGCACCGGCUAACUUCGUGC